AAUCGUUUACACACGAAAAAUAAAAACGCGUCGUAGUAAUUUACUCAAAACUUAAAAAAAAAAAAAAAAAAACCACACGCUUAAUAAUUAAACCUGCAGCAUAAUCAAUAGCGGUUUCGAAAAAAAGUACAGACUACAUAUAAAGAAAAAAAAAAACGCUGCCAGAAAUACCCUCUUUAUAAAUAUUUCGUGAUUCCAAGCAGAGUACUGGAAAAAAAAACACACACACACACACACGUCAUAACAUGACCAAUAAGUUUUAAUCAUAACGAUAUUCGACGGGAAAUUGCAUUGUGCGGGACUCUCGGUGAAGUCGUUUUCUAAACAGCGAUUUUGCGCGAUGUAUUGUGUACGCGUACACAUCAUACGCAUAUACAGGGGGAUCGGGAUAAUCGGUCUGUAAUUAAUUUGCAGGGCCCUCGACCGGAGAAGUGUGCGAGCUCUCGAUUCCGGACGGACCGCGCUGCUGUUGUGCCGUGGGUCUAAAAUAAUUUUCCGGUAUAGCACUUCAAAAAGCAAUUAUAAGCGUAUAAUGGUUUGAGCGCGGGGAUCGGAGUAAAUGAGAUAAUUUCACGCUAUCAAAAUAAAUCUUUGUUUUGUCAACAUAUUGUGUACGUAUAGACAGUGUUGUCUGAGUG